CUGCAGCCCGAUUGGUGAUCGAUUUUAUUGAGCCUAAAGCGUCCGUAGCCGGUCUAGUAAACUCUUGGGUAAAUUGGGCAGCUUAACUGUCCAAAUUCCGAGGGGACUGCUAGUCUUGGGACCGGGAGAGGUCAGAGGUACUCCAGGGGUAGGGGCUAAAUCCUGUAAUCCUUGGGGGACCACCAGUGGCGAAGGCGUCUGACUAGAACGGAUCCGACGGUAAGGGACGAAACCCUGGGGCGCGAACCGGAUUAGAUACCCGAGUAGUCC
rnacentral:rRNA from 1 species